GGGCCCGCACAAGCGGUGGAGUAUGUGGUUUAAUUCGAUGCAACGCGAAGAACCUUACCAGGGCUUAAAUGCAGAGCGACAGAGGUGGAAACACCUCCUUCUUCGGACGGUCUGCAAGGUGCUGCAUGGUUGUCGUCAGCUCGUGCUGUGAAGUGUCGGGUUAAGUCCCAUAACGAGCGCAACCCCUAUUUCUAGUUGCCAGCGGUUCGGCCGGGGACUCUAGAGAAACUGCCAGCGUAAGCUGUGAGGAAGGUGGGGAUGACGUCAAAUCAUCACGGCCCUUACGUCCUGGGCCACACACGUGCUACAAUGGUAAGGACAGAGAGUUGCCAACCCGCGAGGGUGAGCUAAUCUUUAAACCUUAUCUCAGUUCGGAUCGAAGUCUGCAACUCGACUUCGUGAAGUUGGAAUCGCUAGUAAUCGC
rnacentral:rRNA from 1 species